UACGAAGGGGGCGAGCGUUGUUCGGAUUCAUUGGGCGUAAAGGGUGCGUAGGCGGCGGGGCAAGUCGGAUGUGAAAUCUCAGGGCUCAACCCUGAAACUGCAUUCGAUACUGCCUUGCUCGAGGACUGGAGAGGAGAUUGGAAUUCACGGUGUAGCAGUGAAAUGCGUAGAUAUCGUAAGGAAGACCAGUGGCGAAGGCGGGUCUCUGGACAGUUCCUGACGCUGAGGCACGAAGGUCAGGGGAGCAAACGGG
rnacentral:rRNA from 1 species